rnacentral:sRNA from 1 species
UUUCCCUGCGGAGUUGCUCAGGUCCGCCGCAUCUCCUGGGUCCGUAGGGUUUAUGUCGGCAUGUUGGUUAGCAAAUUAUGGCCUCCUCCAUUUUUGAUAACCAACAUUCGACUAUAUA